AUCCCAUGAUGAGGACAGGCGCGCAUGUACUCAUUGAGACGUUCCCAUGCUUUUGAAUCAUCUUGUUGGACUAUUGCUGGAAGCUCGAAAUCUUCCCACGUAGGGC
rnacentral:snoRNA from 1 species